GGCCAGAUGCCCGAGUGGUUAAGGGGAAGGACUUGAAAUCCUUUAGCGUAAGCUGCCUAGGUUCGAACCCUAGUUUGGCCG